rnacentral:rRNA from 1 species
UGGGUAACCUGCCUCAAAGAGGGGAAUAGCCUCCCGAAAGGGAGAUUAAUACCGCAUAAUAUGUUUAGGUCGCAUGACUUUAACAUCAAAGGAUUUUCUUUUAGAAAUUCCACUUUGAGAUGGACUCGCGGCCUAUCAGCUUGUUGGUGAGGUAAUGGCUCACCAAGGCGACGACGGGUAGCCGGCCUGAGGAGGGCGAUCGGCCACAUUGGGACUGAGACACGGCCCAGACCUCCGUAGGGACGG